CACACACACACACACUGCACUUUGUCUCUAGAUAAAACAGGGGUGUCUUAUCAAAAUUCCCUGUACCCAUUCAUUCCAAAAAACCUGGCUUGCCUUCACUCCCUAAGGUCUUAUUAAGCCUUUACCAGGCACUGUGAGUACAGAGCUAAACAAAAACUAGCUGCUUGACUGCACUCCAGAAGCUUAUACUGUAAUGAGAAACCAAGUCCAUGUCCCCUGGUAAGGUGCACCUGACAUGCACACUUCGGGACAUGUUUAUGUCUUCCUCUUUUCUUACCACUUCCCUACUUUCUCACAUAUUAAUGUUCCCACUACCAUUUCUCUUCCCCUUCUCUUUUGCUUCCAAUAAUUAUCUUAUUAUACUUCUCAAGGUGACAUACAUUUCCCCACCCAUAUGCCCCUAUGCCCCCCAUCUUGGUUACCUUUCAGUGCACUUUCUUUAGCAUGUCUUCCUCUAACUACUUCAGCUUAGUAAGAGCUCCUCUGUGUACAGAUGAUAGAGGAGCCUUCACUCAGAAUCGUAGCUGAUUUAUGUUCAUGAGGAAUUAUCAGUUGAGUGAAGUGACUAAAAAUUGAUGGUUUGUUGUUUUCUACAUAGAGACCAAAAAGAGCCAUUGCAAGAUUUGACCUGAGGAAAGUGACUCUUUAUUUAAAGUCAUCUAGAGAUAACCAUGGUUAGAACCUUUGUUUCUGAUUGGAAAUAAAACUCUAUGCUCUGCAGGAAUGUUGGAAAAUUGAAAGGACGCUUUCUAAAGAUGCGCACAGCCCACAGCAGCUUGCAAUUAUUUGCGAGAGGGUUGGGUGUGUAAGAGUUGAGUUGCCAGCAUAUCCUCAAUUUUAAAUGGUGAUUGUAGUCCUCUGCAGUGACAAACGUUUCAAUAAUGUGUUUUCUUCAUUAUUCUCAAAAUAGGUAAGUGCUUCUUGCUUGCUAUUCACUUUAUUCUGAUAAUUUCGGUCCUACUCAUUACUAAAGUGGUUUUCCUUAAGAAUGAAGACACACACGUUGCUUUUCAAAGGAAUUUAUCUUCUCUUUUGUCUUCUGUUUUAUUUAUUUUAAGCCAUGUUAGAAAUGUAUGUUUUUAUUCCCCAGGACUCCAGAGUUUUAACUUCCUUUCUAGGCAACACACUUACAGACACAUUUCCAUAACUUACAAUAAUUUCAAAGCUCAAAACUGGGAAAUAAAAUAGCAAAAUAGGGAAGGAGGAUUCCCAUUAGCCUGAUUCAAGUCUAGACCGGGUUUCUUUCCACUUGGGUUCCACUGUAUUUUUCAAGGUAGUUGCUCAGUUAAGAAAAUACUUUCGAGUCUGUGUUUUCAGCCUCUUGGGAAUGGGAGGCCAGGGAUGCCUGCAGUUUCAAUUGCUGCAGGCAAUGUUUGCACUAAACAAAGGCAGGCAAGAAGGCCACUCCAAGAAGCACUGCAAAUAUCCCUAUGGCUCACCGGGGCAAGCAGAUAUGUACGGCUGGGAGAAGGUCUCUGAGGUGAGAUGGACAAAAGACUGACGAAGCUUGGGAAGGUAAAAUGGAGCAUGGAGACGGGAAAGGACAUAGGGAGGCUGUGAGUUCAGGCUUGGAUUUAUAAUUCAUAUACCGACAGCUCAGUGUUCCUACAGUGAUGACGUUCUUUUAUUCUCCCCGCCAAUGACAAUCAAAUAAUUCCAGACUUCAAAUACUCUGAGAGCUGUUCCUCCCACCUCCUGAUCCUGGCCUCUUCCCACACUGUUCACCCUGCCCCGAUUUCAACAGCUUACAAGUCCUCAGGCUGCAAAACAGACGGCCCACCACCCACAUCCUCUUCCACAUCUUAAGGUCAAGGAAGACAUUCUGGUGACUUUCGCAAAAGGAGAAAAAGGUAGAAUAGGGCCAUGGAAACAGAUUGUUCUGCAAACUUGGAUAGUUUCUCUGUCCUUUAUUUGGUAGCUUUGUAAAUGUUUGAAUAAUGUGGAACACACUGUUGUCGUUAUGUGAUAACCCCAAUCAACUUUGUCCUGGUUUCAGAGGACUAGGUACUUCCCCAGGAUCAGACAGGCAGUAUCUAGUUUUAUUUGACCCUGGGGGGGUAGAUUUUCCUUCCAUGUAAUGGAAAGCAGUGGGAAUAUAUUUGUCUCCUGAGUUCCGUUGUUUAAAUAAUGUUUUCUGCUCUUCCGUGGCAGGCAUCCAAGAGCAUCCUAGACAGCUGCCACUUUAGGGACCUCUUUAGGAUGGCGGCCAUUUCACUUUACUACGCACAGACAUCCUGCCCACAACCUCCCAAAGGUGCCCUCCUCUGCUGUACCCACAGUUCCAGAGCUGGCUGUGUUUCAGGGAAAUGUGGCCCAGUGACAUCACCCAUGGAAACAGCAGGGAAGUUUGGGAAAUCUUGCCAUGGGUUUCUUGACUUUGAAAGAUCAAAUGGAAGUGGACGCCAGUGAUGUGAUUGGAUUUUCAAACUAAUGGGCACGUGUCUUUCAUCAAGCACUUUGGUUUCUGGUUCACACAGGAGCACAUCGCAUGUGGCAGUAAAACCCAACAUUAGAUACAGUUUUAUGUCGCAGUCGAGUGUGGGCUAAAAGUAAACAGAUUACGUUGCUGAGAUUUUUGACCUCUCCCCUUAGGGGUGGGGAGGACAACAUAUCAUUCUUGGGAUAAACGAUCAGAUGUGCCUGAGCUGUUAUGUGUGCAUGAUUUUAAUUACAAGCAUGCCCCAAGCCAAAACAAAGCACUGUGAAUUAUUCAAGACUUAGAUGCUAAAGCCAAGCAACAAUGGAGGAGUCUGUUGAACCCUCACUUAUAGAGCCAGAAAGACUUGAUGGAAAGUUACAGCAUGAACAAACUUGGAGAAUUUGGAAAAGCUGCUUGACCUGGGUUCAUAUCAGUUCUCUCCUCUGAAAAUGUAAGUGUAGUGUGAUUCUGUCAUAGUCGUCAACACCGUGGGAUGCCCAAUAGUCUAGUCAUGCCUGUUGAAUAUUUAUUUAAUCAUUGUUCAAAAAUGGCAUCUGAAGUUAGCUCGAGGUUGCUUCAUCUUUUCUAAUAUUUAGAUGACAUCUCUGAAAGUCAUCGAAAAAAAGGAAAGGAGGAAAAAUCUGCCUUAAGCUUUAUCACUUUACUUCAAUAUUCAACAACAAAAGCACAAAAUAGUAUUGAUUCUAUUAAAAACAUCCAUUUUUUAAAACUGGAUUCUUGAUGCUGUUCACUACUGCAAACCAAAACAAAUGCUCUGGUUCAAAUAGAUGCUCAGAAAAUUUGCACCAAGAAUUUCCCCGGGAACAAGUCCUUCAGAUGAGUCCCUUCCUUCCCAUGUGUUCAUCAAUGCUAUGUUUUAGCCUUGUUACAUGGAAAGCAGGAUCCACAUCUCAAAACUCUCCAUAUGCUCUAGACUGAAGCUGUGUGUAUGAUUUUCUUUCGCUUUAAUUCUUGAGCUUUUUAUAACAUAGAAACCUCAGUCUUUACCCCAACUGAUCUCAUGAUGGAGGAACCAGUCAGGCCUUGGAACCCAGCAGGUAGGACCUGGCAAAUGAGAACACAGAUCUAAUCCAUCAAAGUCUUUAAGUCCUUGAAAAUGUACUAGCCUUGUUCUUUGUUUUUUGUUUUUUUUGUUUUUGUUUUUGUUUUUGUUUUGUUUUGUUUUGUUUUUUGGCUUCUGUAGUUCUAACUCCUCUAGCUAUUUGAGAUGUGUCAACCCAGGAUGUGCCUUUUAUGCCUUCAAGUCCACCCUGAGAAAGGCUCUGGAUGGCACUAGGAUAAUGAACACCCAGUGCAAUCACAGGCUGACUAAUGAAAAAUUCGCUCUUGGCUUGAACCCAUGCUUGAACAGUCUUCUCUGGUGGUGGAUACCUCACAACAUUUCAACUUGUAUGUUUUAACAAAAAUGAAUAGCCUUAGAAAUAAUAGGGAUGUCUGGAAAUAAAAUAUACGUUUAUAUGAGUUGAGUAAUGAUUGUCACAUGUUAAGGUAUAUUCUACAUGACAUUUUACAGAUGUUCACUGUAUUUUGGACAAUUAUGUACAAUAGUAUAAGCCUUAAUACAAUGGUUUAGGUCUUGCAGGGCACCAGGAUUUCUAUAAAGAUAACGUGAUGAUUAAGUAGAAUGCAAGGGUCUCUAGGACUCUCACCUUCACUUUAUGUAUAAAAAUUCUUCCAGUUUCCUAUGUUUCAUAUAUUAGAUUCUAAUUGUACUUUGUCUAUUAAAAUGGGGUCCUAUUCUUAAAAUGUUUGUGAAAAUAAAUUUUAAGAGCCAUAACGGGAAGUAGUUUUGAUGCAAUAACAUUUUUCUAUCGCUUACUCAGAACAAAAUAUCACAAAAUUUAUAGCAGCUUAAUUUUCAUAUUAUGUCAAAGCCACUCUAAUAUUUGGGUUAAAUAGUCAACACACUUCUGCAUAUGCCUUAUCUUCAUUCUUUUCCUUAAUAUAUCAUGUUUAUUUAGUCUAGGAAGAAGGCAAAACUUGCUUAUCUUACAGGAACUUGGAUUCCUUAAUAGCAAGUUGGUUAACCACAGUGUGUGUGUGUGUG
rnacentral:sRNA from 1 species